rnacentral:rRNA from 1 species
GUAGCUUGCUACUGAAUUUAGCGGCGGACGGGUGAGUAAUGCUUAGGAAUCUACCUAUUAAUGGGGGACAACAGUUGGAAACGGCUGCUAAUACCGCAUACGCCCUACGGGGGAAAGCAGGGGAUCUUCGGACCUUGCGUUAAUAGAUGAGCCUAAGUCAGAUUAGCUAGUUGGUGGGGUAAAGGCCUACCAAGGCGACGAUCUGUAGCGGGUCUGAGAGGAUGAUCCGCCACACUGGGACUGAGACACGGCCCAGACUCCUACGGGAGGCAGCAGUGGGGAAUAUUGGACAAUGGGGGGAACCCUGAUCCAGCCAUGCCGCGUGUGUGAAGAAGGCCUUUUGGUUGUAAAGCACUUUAAGCGAGGAGGAGGCUACCGAGAUUAAUACUCUUGGAUAGUGGACGUUACUCGCAGAAUAAGCACCGGCUAACUCUGUGCCAGCAGCCGCGGUAAUACAGAGGGUGCGAGCGUUAAUCGGAUUUACUGGGCGUAAAGCGUGCGUAGGUGGUCUUUUAAGUCGGAUGUGAAAUCCCUGAGCUUAACUUAGGAAUUGCAUUCGAUACUGGGAGACUAGAGUAUGGGAGAGGAUGGUAGAAUUCCAGGUGUAGCGGUGAAAUGCGUAGAGAUCUGGAGGAAUACCGAUGGCGAAGGCAGCCAUCUGGCCUAAUACUGACACUGAGGCACGAAAGCAUGGGGAGCAAACAGGAUUAGAUACCCUGGUAGUCCAUGCCGUAAACGAUGUCUACUAGCCGUUGGGGCCUUUGAGGCUUUAGUGGCGCAGCUAACGCGAUAAGUAGACCGCCUGGGGAGUACGGUCGCAAGACUAAAACUCAAAUGAAUUGACGGGGGCCCGCACAAGCGGUGGAGCAUGUGGUUUAAUUCGAUGCAACGCGAAGAACCUUACCUGGUCUUGACAUAGUAAGAACUUUCCAGAGAUGGAUUGGUGCCUUCGGGAGCUUACAUACAGGUGCUGCAUGGCUGUCGUCAGCUCGUGUCGUGAGAUGUUGGGUUAAGUCCCGCAACGAGCGCAACCCUUUUCCUUAUUUGCCAGC